ACGCUCGACACCUACGGGAGGCCGCAGUGGGGAAUAUUGCACAAUGGGGGAAACCCUGAUGCAGCGACGCCGCGUGAGCGAAGAAGUAUUUCGGUAUGUAAAGCUCUAUCAGCAGGGAAGAAAAUGACGGUACCUGACUAAGAAGCCCCGGCUAACUACGUGUCAGCAGCCGCGGUAAUCUGAGCGGGCUGGCAAGGC
rnacentral:rRNA from 1 species